rnacentral:rRNA from 1 species
UUUUGAUCCUGCCAUUAUUCAUAUGCUUGUCUCAAAAAUUAACCCUUGCAUGUCUAAUUACAACCCUCACUAAGGUGAAACCGCAAAUGGCUCAUUAAAUCAUACCUAAUGUACUGGACAGUCUCAUUUACUUGAAUAACUGCGGUAAUUCUGGACCUAAUACAUGCGUACUACCCGCGACUCACGGAGCGGUGCUUUUAUUAAAUCAAAACCAAACGGCCUCAACCCGUCCCCCUGGUGAUUCUGAAUAACUUUGGGCUGAUCGCACGGACUCUUUCCGGCAACUUGUCCUUCCAAGGUGUGCCCUAUCAACUGUCGACUGUGGCAUAAACCCCCACAGUGUUUUUGACGGGUAACGGGAAAUUAGGGUUCAAUUCCGGAAAGGGAGCCUGAGAAACGGCUACCACUUCUACGGAAGGCACCAGGCACCCAAAUUACCCACUGGCCGCAGGCCGAGGUAGUGACAAAAAAUAACGAUACCGAACUCUUCCAAGGCCCGGUAUUCGAAAUGAUUACACUUUAAUUCCUUUAACGAGGACCAAUU